rnacentral:lncRNA from 1 species
CCGAAGAUCAGAUUCUAUAAACAAAAACUCUUUGUUAAAUUAACCAUGACACAAAUUAUUCUAUUGUCUUCCCCGAAUCCCACAACCCCCUCCAACAUUUAAAAUUCAUCUUUAGAUAACAGAUUAUCCCUUAAAGUACCAUUUUACUCUCUGAAAAAGUCCUAGAAAUACUACCCUCUGUCAAUGCAGCAGACCGCUACCUUGCAAGGAAAAGAUGGUCUACUUACAUAAUUAUCCUUAGUUAUGUUUACAACAUUGAAGCAGGCAAUAUCUGACUUUCAUUCCUGAGUGAAAUCCAGACCACAGCCCAGGGAGGACCAAGCCAUGGCAUUCUGUUGCUCCCCACUGAACGUCCCACACCAUAGGGUCUGGCUUUGGCUGGAAGAAGGGCAACCUCACCCAGUCCUCCAGAAGGUGCACACACCCAAGUGGAUGCUACUGCCAUUAAGGGGCAUUUCCUUCAACUCCCACGUGGAAAAGGGGGCAAAGUGGACCCUAGUCCACUGUCACUCACACACAUGUACAGAUCCCAGGGUCCACACAGAUACAGAUCCCAGGGUCCACAUCUAUCACAUAUAUGAACAUUAUCACACAGACCCCUGCAGACACAUCUGUGAGGCAUAUGCAUUCCCAAACACACAGACAGACUCAUGAUAAAUUUGUUCCUACCCAGCCAUGACUUCUAAAUGCUUGGGGAAACCAAGACAUAGUAGAAAGGAGUGUGCAAUUAUCAUUUCCCAUGAUGCCGUUACUUAAGAACUCUUUGUGUCCGUCCUUCUAAUGGCACCAAUGCCUCCCAUCAAGCCUUAAACCUCACCUAAAUUAUGUCAUUGGGCUUUUUCAUCCAUAAAUGAGCAUACCAGGUGCCAAGGGAAUCAAUAUGCCAUUUCACAUGCCUUAGACCAGUGUCCAAAGAAAGAUAAAAUGUUAUUCUAUAAAAGCUUUCUCCCAGCAUUUCUAUUCCUUUACAUUUUGUGCCAUAUACAACUAUGGUUUUUUAAUGAUCUUAUUUCUGACAGCUGUUUUUCUUCAGAACAUCAACAGCUUCUUUCCUAAAUUAGUUUUAGUAUGAGUUCCAUUUCUAAUUAGCUCAAAUUAAAGUCCUAGAGAGCAGCGAGGUAAUAUUUAAACCCUCAGGCUAAAAUUUCGGAGUAGGUGCAGAAUGUUGACUCUAAAUGAGUUUUUCCUGUGACAUAACACGCAUGAAAGCAGGAUUUCUUUCAUGUGUGAAAUGUCUUAAAUCAGACUUACCCUUUGUGAUUCUCUUUUAGCUUUAAAUGUCAUUUAAGAAGAAAAAAGAAAAGAAAAUUAAGCAUGACAUUCCCCAAUAUCCUCUGCUCACUGUGUUAUAAUCCCUAUCACUCCACAAGUGAAUUGGAGAGAGUGAAGACACAAUGAACAGAAACUUCCCUGAUGCUUCACAGAGGAAGUGUUCUCCGGGACCACACAGCCUCCACCAUGUCCAUCUACGAAGGGCUGUGGCAAGCCAUAUACACAAAGAUGCCUGUUUCCUGUCUUCUCGGUUAAAAACAAAAACAAAACACCGGAAAAAGCCAAGCUGCCAUGGGUUGCAGAGUGCCAGCCCUUAAGUAGUGUUGUUCAUGGGUAAACAGGAGACGGAUAAGGGCAAUUUCAAGAAAUAACAAACUCAAGGCAUGAAUGUGGUUAUCCAAACAUCAAGGGACUCCUUCAUUUGCAUUUGGAUAAUUGUGCAGUUAUAUGAUUUGUUACAUGGAGACCAGAUGGAAGUAAGAGAGCUCAUCCUCAACUUCCUGUACCUCUGGAAGUCUUUACACACAUGCUGGAGAGAUAGAGGAGAGUUCAUUAGCAUCAAACCACCAUGGAUUUCAUAAUCAAUUCCUAAUAUCUGAAUAGAUGCAGAAAAGUCACAGGCAUCUAGAAGUGUGGCCCAAGUUCUGUUCUUCAAUCAGCCCACCCAUUAUCCCUAUGUAUCUCGAUUUUGUUAUCUAAAAGAUCACAUGAUGGAGGAUGUAAGCAAGUAACACAGCCAAGACCCAGUUUACAGUGUCUAGUACCUAACAGACUCUUGACACGUUUCACUUGCCCUUGAGUCAGUCUUUCCAUGUCACUGAAUAUUCUUCCACAACACGAUUUUAAUGGAUAUAGUCGUCCAUUGUUUAAAUGUACCAUUAUUGACCAAUGUAAAAAUGUUCUUUUACCUCAAAUUUUUAUAUGUAAAACAAAAACAUGUUUGAGGACUAAACCCACAGUGUAGUAUAAAUUAAACUGGAUGUAGGCCAGGCAUGGUGAGUCACACCUAUAGUCCCAGCACUUUGGGAAACCAAGACAGGAGGAUGGCUUGAAGCCAGGAGCUCAAGAGCAGCCUGGGCAAUACAGCAAGACCUCAUCUCUACAAAAAAAUAAGAAAAAUUAGCUGGCCAUGGUGGCGUGCACCUGUAGUCCCAGCUUCUUGGGAGGCUGAGGUGGGAGGAUCCACUAAGCCUAGGAGUUUAAGGCUGCAGUGAGCUUGGAUAACGACUGCACUCCAGCCUGGAUGACAGAACAAGAACCUGUUUC